GAUGAACGCUAGCGGCAGGCCUAAUACAUGCAAGUCGAACGGUGUCUUCGGACAUAGUGGCGCACGGGUGCGUAACACGUAUGCAACCUACCUUACAUUGGGGGAUAGCCUUUCGAAGGGGAGAUUAAUACCGCAUAAGACAGUAGCUGGGCAUCCAGCAGCUGUUAAAGAUUUAUCGAUGUAAGCUGGGCAUGCGUCCAAUUAGCUAGUUGGUGAGGUAACGGCUCACCAAGGCAAUGAUUGGUAGGGGAACUGAGAGGUCAAUCCUCCACACUGGCACUGAGAUACGGGCCAGACUCCUACGGGAGGCAGCAGUAGGGAAUAUUGGGCAAUGGACGCAAGUCUGACCCAGCCAUGCCGCGUGCAGGAUGAAGGCGUUAUGCGUUGUAAACUGCUUUUAUACAGGAAGAAACGACUCUUGCGAGAGGCAUUGACGGUACUGUAUGAAUAAGCACCGGCUAACUCCGUGCCAGCCGCCGCAGUAAAAC
rnacentral:rRNA from 1 species